UACAGGGGGGGCAAGCGUUGUUCGGAAUUACUGGGCGUAAAGGGCUCGUAGGCGGCCAACUAAGUCACACGUGAAAUCCCCAGGCUCAACCUGGGAACUGCGUGUGAUACUGGAUGGCUUGAAUUCGGGAGAGGGAUGCAGAAUUCCAGGUGUAGCGGUGAAAUGCGUAGAUAUCUGGAGGAACACCGGUGGCGAAGGCGACAUCCUGGACCGGUAUUGACGCUGAGGCGCGAAAGCCAGGGGAGCAAACGGG
rnacentral:rRNA from 1 species